rnacentral:misc_RNA from 1 species
GUCUCUGAAAUUAAAACAAAACCACCAACUAAAAAUUAUUUAUAUACAAGUCAGCAAUAAGUUAAAAGCAGAAAACUUGUUUUACUUUUCUACUACGUUUCGUCAAGUUAAUUCCGUAUUUUUAUAAGCCCAGUUUGAUGCGCCAAUGACACCACUUCCCUGUCACAUUCACUUUCGUCGAGACGUUGCGAAAACUCUGCUAAGUUGCGGAUUGAAGGUCGCUGUAGCUUUUUUAGUCUUUCCAAAACAUUUAUCCAGCAUGGCUUGGCGAUCUAGUGGGAAUUCUAAUUCGCAUCUUGUUGAAAAUCUCUAUCAAAAUGGUAUAAUCAAAUCAGAGAGAGUUCGUGACACAAUGAAAGCAGUUGAUCGUGGCGACUUCUGUCAGCGUAACCCUUAUGCUGAUUCUCCACAGACUAUUGGAUAUGCUGUUACAAUAAGUGCUCCGCAUAUGCAUGCGUAUGCAUUGGAGUUGUUAAAAAAUCACUUAGUUGAUGGAAACCGUGCUCUUGAUGUUGGCUCUGGAAGUGGAUACCUUACUGCAUGUAUGGCAUUGAUGGUUGGGGAAACUGGUUUGGCUGUUGGAAUCGAUCAUAUAGACAAGUUGGUGCAGUCCUCAAUUGACAAUGUAAAGAAAAAACAGCGACUUGGAUUCUUACUAGAUAAGGGUCAGAUGAAAUUAGUUGUUGGUGAUGGAAGAUUAGGAUACAAGCCAGAUGCUCCCUAUGAUGCUAUCCAUGUUGGAGCUGCAGCUGCAGUUUUGCCAGAUUCUUUAGUUGAACAGUUGAAACCUGGUGGACGUAUGGUAAUCCCUGUGGGAGGUCAAGGAGAGAACCAAAUGCUUCAGCAAAUUGAUAAAAAUGAAGAUGGAUCAGUAACAAAGAAAAAUCACAUGGGAGUAAUUUAUGUUCCACUGACAAGCAAAGAAAAGCAAUGGCCAAAGUAUCUGGAAUAUUGCUGUCUUUGCUAAUAGUUCUGACAAUCCACCUACCCUUCAUCUACAUUUGAGCCACUCUCCUUACAGUUGCUGUCCCAACUUGAAGUUGGCGAUAUUUUGCAAGAAGAGUUUUAGCAAUGAGAAACAAGAGUAAUGAAACGUAAACAUUAUUUGCACAUUUUGAAAGUCCAGACUCCAUCUUGAUAUUAUUUGAAAAAAUCCACAGAGAUUGAAUUAGACUGUCCAGUUCUGUUUUACUUUUUUGAACAACUUCAAAUCAUCCAUGAAUAACAGGGCCUAUGAUGAAUUAUGAACUGAAAUACUAAGGACUUCUGGAAGCUUUUUUUUUUUUUUUUUUUUUUUUUUUUGUAAAUGACUUUUGCACUGCAACUACUAACAGAUGCUCCACUGUUUUACCCUGUUUCUCACCAUUGAUGAGGUUCAGAUAAUAGAAAACAUAUGAGACUCUCCACUCCCUUUAUCUGCUAUUUAUAUUGUCAAUAAAUUGAUUUAUUGUUUUUUUUUUUAACAAUCGCUUUGUAAAAUUUGUUCAGAAGAAAAGAAAAAGAAACUUCAGAUCAAAAGAUUAAUUUUUUAUUUUCAUACAUAUUUUGAGCUCCUUUACUAAAAACACAUUAGAAAUUCUUUAAAUAAAUUAUUCCUAAAUGAAUAGGUGCAAUUACUUAAGAGCUAUACCAAACAGCUCAUAAUAUAAUCAAGAUAGCAGUAAACAGUCUGUUAUAUAACAAAGAUACUACACUAAGAUAUUCACAAUACAACUAAAACAUUGGUGUCCACAAGUUACACCAAAGCAGUUCAUAAUACAACCAAAAUAACUAGGCUAAACAGUUCAUAAUGUUACCAGCUAGAUACAUAAUAUAAAUAUAAUAUAUUCAUGAUAUAAAAAAUUACAAUGUUUACAAUCUAAUCAAGUAAAAAGAUGUCGUUAAAUGAUAAAAAUUCAAUCAAAUAAUUA